rnacentral:rRNA from 1 species
AUUGAACGCUGGCGGCAGGCUUAACACAUGCAAGUCGAGCGGAGCGAGGGUGCUUGCACCUUAGCUUAGCGGCGGACGGGUGAGUAAUGCUUAGGAAUCUGCCUAUUAGUGGGGGACAACAUUCCGAAAGGAAUGCUAACACCGCAUACGCCCUACGGGGGCAAGAAGGGGAUCUUCGGACCUUGCGCUAAUCGAUGAGUCUAAGUGGGAUUAGCUAGUGGGUGGGGUAAAGGCCUACCAAGGCGACGAUCUGUAGCGGGUCUGAGAGGAUGAUCCGCCACACUGGGACUGAGACACGGCCCAGACUCCUACGGGAGGCAGCAGUGGGGAAUAUUGGACAAUGGGCGGAAGCCUGAUCCAGCCAUGCCGCGUGUGUGAAGAAGGCCUUUUGGUUGUAAAGCACUUUAAGCGAGGAGGAGGCUACUUAGAUUAAUACUCUGGGAUAGUGGACGUUACUCGCAGAAUAAGCACCGGCUAACUCUGUGCCAGCAGCCGCCGUAA